rnacentral:lncRNA from 1 species
ACUACUAAGUUAGUUAUACCGAGUUCGACUAAGUUCUACUGGUUAUACUGCAUAAUACUAAGUACUACUGAGUUAGUUAUACCAAAUUCGACUGAGUUAGUAAUACCGAGUUAUACUGGAUCCAGAUCUGAAGAAAAUAAAUAAAAAACACAAAAUAUACUUUGCAAAAGGGGAACAAGAACAAUUGCAAAGGGGGAACAAGAACAAUAAAAUCCCAAAAUCAUAAAAAAAAAAAAAAAACAGAUCUGUAGAGAACAAGAAGAACCCUAAUCAUACAAAACCCAUAAUCUUAAUUUACAACCCCUAAUUUAAAACAUAAGCACAAUAAAACUCGAGAAGAGGAAGAAUCGCCAUUGAUGUGAAGCGCGAGAAGAAGGAGAUUUGAAGCGCAUAUGUUGAACCAUCGCCGUUUUGAACAUAUCUAAAGCGCGAGAAGAGGAAUAAUCACCAUUGAUGUUGUUUCUAUCACCUUCGACCGUUGUUUUCAUAAUCUACAGCAGAUUUGUAUUACUGUUUACUGAGAAAAAGAAAAGAAUCACAGAGAAAAUAGAGAAGAGAGAAAGUCGCCGGAAGAAGAGAGAAAAAAGGAACGGUUGUGGGAGAGAAAAGAGAAAGAAAAAGAAAGAUAAGAGCAAAAAAACUAAAUCAAUUGAUAUAUGUAUAUUAGAGUUAGGGGUAUUAGUGUAAUUAACUUAAUUUCCGCAUUAAAAUUAAAUCAAAAAGAAAAUAAUUUUAGAUGGGGUCUUUGAGAGAUUGAGUUAUGAGAUAUGGGGGUAAUAGAGGAGAUGUUUCCUUCUCAAGC